GGCCUGAACCACACUGGAUCAAGAGCACUGGCCCGGGAGUCAAGAAACCUGAGUCCCAGGGCCAGCCCCUGGGCAAAUCACCUCCUCCAUGACCCUCAGUGCCCCAUCGGAACCAGAAAGAGGCAGAGCAGAUGACCUCAGACUCCUGCAGGCAGACCGUGCCCUUCUCAUCAGACACCAGCACCUCCUGGUACACUGCUCCGUACACAGUAGGAGCCAGCAGCUAAGAGCACGUGUGCUUUGGAAACAGACAUGAAUUCAAACCUCAGCUCUGUCUUAGUUGCUGAGGAACCAUGGGAAGUCACUUCUGAAUCUCAGUUGCCUCAUCUCUAACAUUAAUAUUCCCUUCACUAAACCGAAUGGCUGUGGAUUAAAUGAGGCAAAGUUCAGCUCUUGGCAUUAAAAAGAAACUUCCAUACUGUGCAUCUGAACUCUCCAUAAAUGCCCAUCAACUCUAAAGAAAAUUAUAACUGUAAGGAGAAUCUAGUCAUAACACCGUCUGCUGGGAAAGCUUUGUAACUUAGACCGGGGCCUGCCUGCACUCACAGCACACAACGGACCUAACAGCGAAGGUCACAGUCCCAGAUGGGGCCACCUACUUCAUCCUCCAGAACGCAACGGCCUCCCGCCCCUCACCUCUCCUCGGGGGUCUGGCUGUGCUCUUCAGGGCACUCUGUGGGAGACUUCGCAGACCCCUCCUGGGACCAUUCCCUGGAGAGGGUCCCACCAUCCUCAUCCACAGGACCAGUAGCCACACCAUAGGUCCUAGGGCCGUAUUUUGAGCUACCAUCGUGGUUAAAGGUGAGGCGGGAGCCCCAGAGGCGGUCAGAGCUGGUGGGGACCUCCUUCCGCGGCUGCUCCAUCUUGGCCAGAAUCUCUUCCACUGUGGUGGCUGCAAAGCGCUCAGAGGCUGGACGGAAGGGGGCAGGGGCCUUCCGCACACCCCCUGGGGCAGCACAUCGAGCUGGGGGUGUCAAUGGAGGCAUCUCUUCUUUCCCAGCCUCCUCUUUCCCAGCCUCUUGGGUGGCUUCUCCUCCAGUAGACGUCUCGGCCGGCGGUCUUGGUGCAAAGGGAAGGGGACGCCUGGUGCCACCGUAGGGCUGGGGUCCUGCCAGCAUGUUCAUCUUCCGGGCAGAAGGCAGCUCAGCCAGAGGACCCCGGGGUGGCCGCGGCCCAACAGACACCAGCAGGCUGGGCUUGGCAGGCAGGGCUGGCUUGGCAGGCAGGGCCCGGGGUUUGGGCUUGACAGGAGGUUUGGCCCGAGGGUCACCUACCAAAAGGAAAGGGUUGGUUGGGGAGGCUGUCAGAAGAACCAGGAUGUAGACUUCUUCAUCUCCUCCCUAUUAACUCAAGAUGUUUGCAGCCUUCAAGGCACAAGCCAAAUGUCACCUCUUCCAUGAAGCCUUCCUUGGUUUACCAUACCUAUCCCAGAAGCACCUUCUGUCUCCAAAUUCUCAAAAUGUUUAUUCAAUCCCUCCUGUACGCUAAAGCUAUUUAAGGGUCCAGCUGACACCUUAUUUGUCCCUGUACCCUACUCUGCAUCUAACACGUUAUUACUAAAUGAAUGAAUGAAUGAAUGAACAAAUGAGCCGAUAAACGGAUGCUACCUACCCAUAAUCGAGCCCGCAGCCCAACAUUUCUCCAAUCUAGUCCUGUCCUCUUACAUGACACUACCAUCCUGCCGUCCACAGCAAACCUUUUAUCCCAGCUGAGCCUCCCUACUCUGCCUCCUGGCUGUCCCUCCCCCAGGACACACCCAGGCCACCUCCCCAGGUGUGUGAUGAGGAAUGCAAACUUAUUAUUGACCUAACCCACACAGAAGUAAAUCUGCUGCAGGAAAAGAAAACAAGAUUAGGAACCUACCUUCUAUAUAAGGCAUUCCAAAGCCAAAUAAAAGACCUUGGGAUUACUCAUUGCCGUGGCCCUCCUAACAGAAACCUCUAUCAUCCACUCAUUCGGCUCAGCCUAAGAAAGGAGUCUAGACAGGAGCCAGGAGGCCUGGGUUCAAAUCCCUAUAGGUACACGUCACUUCUCAUCGAGGCCCCCGCCUCCUCCUCGAAAAAUACUCGCAUUACCCACAUCAUUUUGAAGGUUAGCUUGUUCUUAUCUGCUGUAGAUCUAAGACCUCUAACUGUUCUAAAGGGUCUUACCAGGAACUGAGAACCUUCCCAACUCAUCCUGCACUCCUCCCUCCCACCUCAACAGAAUCAUCACUCCCCCCGC